GACGAACGCUGGCGGCGCGCCUAACACAUGCAAGUCGAGCGAGAACCAGAGCUUCGGCCCUGGGGAAAGCGGCGAACGGGUGAGUAACACGUGGGUAACCUGCCCUCGGCACCGGGAUAGCCCGAGGAAACUCGGAUUAAUACCGGACAGCCUCAUGAGCCCUUGGGCGAAUGAGAAAAGGUGGCUUCGGCUUCCGGCUGAGGAUGGGCCCGCGUCCGAUUAGCUUGUUGGUGAGGUAAUGGCUCACCAAGGCUGCGAUCGGUAGCUGGUCUGAGAGGACGAUCAGCCACACUGGGACUGAGACACGGCCCAGACUCCUACGGGAGGCAGCAGUGGGGAAUCUUGCGCAAUGGGCGAAAGCCUGACGCAGCGACGCCGCGUGCGGGAAGAAGGCCU
rnacentral:rRNA from 1 species